GACGAACGCUGGCGGCGUGCUUAACACAUGCAAGUCGAGCGGUAAGGCCCUUUCGGGGGUACACGAGCGGCGAACGGGUUGAGUAACACGUGGGUGACCUGCCCUCAGCUCUGGGAUAAGCCUGGGAAACCGGGUCUAAUACUGGAUAUGACUCCAUGACGCAUGUUGUGGGGUGGAAAGCCUUGUGCGGCUGAGGAUGGGCCCGCGGCCUAUCAGCUUGUUGGUGGGGUGANGGCCUACCAAGGCGACGACGGGUAGCCGGCCUGAGAGGGCGACCGGCCACACUGGGACUGAGACACGGCCCAGACUCCUACGGGAGGCAGCAGUGGGGAAUCUUGCGCAAUGGGCGAAAGCCUGACGCAGCGACGCCGCGUGAGGGAUGACGGCCU
rnacentral:rRNA from 1 species